AGUGCAGAGGACGAGGAGUGGGACGACUGAGGUUGGUGGGCGAUGGAGAGCCUUCCAGCCCACCCACCACUGUUGAGAAUUUCUUCCAUCGACUUCCGCUCUGGAGAUGGAGGGAGAAGUCUGCCAAUGCCCAGCCUUACCUGGUUCCUCCCUCCAGCCGCCGUGGAGUACGCGUUGAAGAAGCUCUGCUAAAAUCAAACCCGGACCGUGUUAGCAGUGGGGCCCCAUGCUGUGGCUCCGGAGGGUCUCUCCCUGGGUGUGGGUCUAGCUUUCCUAGACGGUGUCCUGGUGACCCUUGCCUUGAGUGUGAGCCUUCCUUCUGGAGGCAGGCAGGGGGUGAGUCCCCAGGGCAUUCAGAGCGACUGCACUUGGUCUUGGUGCAGGUCAGGGGGUACCCCUCAUCGGCAUGCAGAGUGGCUCGGAGGAAAAGUUCUGUGUGACUCUCCACUCUGCUCACAUCUCCUGCUCUCCCUUCACGUCAGCCUUCUCCCCGGCGCUGGGCUGUGGCCCCUGCGCUCUGGCUCAAGCCAUCUUGUCCCCCCGAUCCUUUCAUUUCCCUGGAGCUGUCAGUUCUUUUUUCUUCCUUUGGUUCUCUGCCACCCUGGGGGUUCCUGCCUCCUGACUGCUUCCCGGGCAUGGUGUCCUCAGGGAGGCCUAGAGGAGCCUCAGGUGUGGCUGGCUGGUCUGCAUCUCUCAGGCUCACUCUGCCAGGCCACAUUUUCGAUAUUUUGUUUCUGUUAUGUAUCUUUAGAACUUUAUAUGAUUGGCUAAAUCUUGAGAAAAGGAUUCUUCUACACUGACUGGGUAUUUGUCGGGUGUAAACAGCCUUCCAGCUGAGCAGUGUCUCUAGGAGAAGGAAGCCGUUGCUUUUUGCUCAUGAUCAUUGCCUUGCUGGGUGCUGUGCCCACACCCAGAUCUGUGAAGAGAGCUGGAGGUGAGAUCUGCAGGUCCCGAGAAAGGGUAGGGACUCGGUGGCAUGUGGAUCCCAGUUGCCUCAGAGAAGAAGGGGCGGUGGAGUCCCCUAAUGCAGCAAACAGCACUAGAGGCUUCCCACGAUAAGUGUAACUGCUGACUGUUGAGUCCCUCCUGGUGUCAGCAGAGGUAUCCCCUGCUUUUCAAAAGUCUGCAUUAUGCCGUUUCCCUUUUAUGAAAGCCUUAACAUUAGUACACACCUAUUUUUAGUAACCAAAAGAAAAUCUGAAGAGGAUUUUUGCUUUUAAGAGAAAAGGUAAAAAGCAAAAGUAGUGUUCAGUGUUUGUUUUGCAACAACUUCUAGAGGCAGGGGGCACCCCCAGCAGUGAGGGGCCUCGCCAAGCUCCUUCCCCUCAGCACCUCAGCAUCACACAGCCAUAGCUUUGAACUGUACCUGAGCAUCUGUGCUUUAUCUCGAUUUAUUUUGCACUGUUAGCAAGCUGUGUCCUAGGGUACCAGAAAAGCCUAAGAGAGGUUAUUUUUUGAGUCUGGGAAAGCUCAAAAUUUUUUCCAUAUAAAUUGAUAAUUGCUUCUUCACUCUACGCCAUUUCAGCUUAACAAAAGUUUCCAUAGGAAUGCUCCACUUUAAGAUAGCAGGGGAAACGUAUCAGUCAGGUUUCGAAGUCCACAUUCUUAACUUCAGGAUUAUUCUGCUUUCACAUGUAUACUGCAGAAGAGAAAAGGGCCCCAGAAAGGUUAAGGCAAGGGUCAUAACUGCUUAUUUUCAAAUUACCCAGAGUCACACAGCUAAUAAGCAAAGGUUAUACUCCUUCCUCUGUCCCCUGCUUCCUUGGCCUACAGAAGGGCCUUGCACACAGGGACCAGAGAUGGCCCUGGCCUUGCAAAGCAGGGUUACAUUCCCAGGCUUUAAGGAACUUGCCUAGAUCUUUGACUCUUGAUCUGGGCUCAAUAAUAUGGCUGUGAGGCUUGGGAUUCACACUUCAGUUACGCCACCUGAAGUCAUGGUUACUGGGCUACUUGUGGAUCUCUUCUGCUCUUGUUGCCCUUUUUCAGUUCAGACCACCUUGCCCCUCUCACCUCGGCUGCCUUCUGGUGUCCUGUGUGAGUGGGGCUGGCUCACUCCUGAGCAUGCUGAGCCUCAGUCAUGGGGUGGCCAAGCGGGUGGUUAAGCAGGAGGACUGGGGGACACUGACUGGGUAGAGGGACCUAGUGAGGGCACUGUGCUGCCCAAAGCACUGUGGCCAAAGGGUAUGGCAGGCUCAAAUGGGCAGGCCACCAUUCCGAACAAGGAGGUCCAGGGUGUCAGUGCGCCAAACCCAGGGCUACAAAAGGGCUUGGUGUCUCCGGGCAGCUCCUAGAAGGAAGAGGCCGCUGUGACUGGAGCUCAAAGGAAUGGGUGGAGGUGGAGGCACGUUUGAGAUGAGGCUGGAGAUUGGGCGUGGCAUUUUCAGCAUGUUAAGUAUUUCGGGACUUUGUCCUUAACUUCCUGGAAGCCAGUGAUCCCAGGGAGAGUGGUAAGAUCUGAUUUGUGUAUUUCAAAGAUUGCUUGACUACAGUGAAACUGAAGGCAGUGAGCAUAACUAGGAGGCUGCUGCAGUUGUCAGGGUGAGAGACUGGAAUGGUUUGGUCUAUAGCAGUCGGGGUAACAGUGGAAAACAAUUCAGGUAGACAGAGGAGGAAAGGGACUUUGCAGCAAGAGAAGAGCACCAGCAAAGCCAAUGGGGGGGCAGUGGCCUGCUCCUGGAAUGUGUGCAAUUUCUGUAUACGGUUGUUGUAAUAAUAAACCUAACCAUAAAAUUUGAUAAUCCUUUUUCAAAUACUGUUACACAAUCACUUUCCAUAUUGCUACAUAGUCUUCAUAACCAGUGCUUAAAGGUUGGCUACCAUUUAAUAGCUGUUAUCAUUCUCCAAUUUUGGGAUAAUUAAUUGAUCCCUAUUUGGAGCUAAUAUAAUUAAUAUGUCAAAUGCUGUUGUAAAUUAUAUAGUUCCCUCAAUCUCACCCACCCACCCAACCACCUGUCCACAAGUCACACAUACACACACAUUAUAUUUUUGGGUUAUUUCUUUAGGGACAGAUUCCAGGAGUCAGAUGAUUGGGAAUCUAGGAAUUUUUGAAAAAGGUUUUGUUACCUUGUUUUCCAAAAGGGUUGUUCUAAAUUACACUUUCAGCAGCAAUGUAGGAGGACCAUUUUCAUGCUAUCCUUGCCAGAAUCGGGUAUAACAUUAAAAAAAAUUUUUACAGUAUCAUGGAUAAACAAUCUUAUGGAGGUUUCACAUGAACAACAUUGUGGUUUCAACAUUCACCCAUAUUAUCAAGUCCUCACCCCCCUCCACCCCCACCCCGUCCCUUUGCAAUCACUGUCUACCAGUGUAGUAAGAUGUUAUAGAGUCAUUACUUGUCUUCUCUGUGCUAUACUGCCUGGGUAUGAUGACAUUUUAAAAAAUUAUAUUUGAUAAGGUGAAAGUAAUGCUUUAAUUUUUAUUUUAAAGUUAAUACUUUAAUUGGUCUUUCCCAUUAAGAGUGAUCGUAAACAUUUUUCUCAUGUUAAUUUCCUGUAUGUAUUUCCCCUUUUGUCUGCUAGGGAGGAGAAGGUUUUUUUGGUUUAUCAGACUUAUUUAUAUUUUAAAUAUAACCAUUUUCCAUAGUUUAGCAACUUCUUUCCAUUUUUAAAAAUUGAUUUUACAAUCUUUAUAUGGAUAUAGCUGUUAACUUUUUGUGAUUUUUGUUUGCUUUUAAAAAGCUUAUAUUCUCUUUUCAGAUGUUAGAUACUCAAUUUCAUUUUCUUCCAUUUUGGUUACCUGGUUUUAUAUUUAAUUAUUUAAUCCAUUCUUCCUUUAAUUUGUGGGAAGGUAUGAAGUGAGGUAACGAAAUUGCUUAUUUUCAAAUUGCUAACCAGUUACUCCACCAUAUUUGUUGAAUUCCUUGCCACUGUCAAGUUAUGACUUCUCCUGCAUCACAUAUUAAAGUUAUUUGUUCUUAAAUUAUCUGUUAUAUUUCAGUAAGUCUCCCUGUAGUGACAAUCUUAACUAUCACAGUAGGCUUUAAUAGUUGGUAGAGCUAGGUCCCCGUCAUUAUUCUUUUGUUUUAGAAUUUUCUUUGAUAUUUCUAUUCAACAUUUGGAACAUUUUAUCAAGUUUCAGUGCAUACUUAU